rnacentral:rRNA from 1 species
AUUGAACGCUGGCGGCAGGCCUAACACAUGCAAGUCGAAUGGUAACAGGAAACAGCUUGCUGUUUCGCUGACGAGUGGCGGACGGGUGAGUAAUGUCUGGGAAACUGCCUGAUGGAGGGGGAUAACUACUGGAAACGGUAGCUAAUACCGCAUAACGUCGCAAGACCAAAGAGGGGGACCUUCGGGCCUCUUGCCAUCAGAUGUGCCCAGAUGGGAUUAGCUAGUAGGUGGGGUAACGGCUCACCUAGGCGACGAUCCCUAGCUGGUCUGAGAGGAUGACCAGCCACACUGGAACUGAGACACGGUCCAGACUCCUACGGGAGGCAGCAGUGGGGAAUAUUGCACAAUGGGCGCAAGCCUGAUGCGGCCAUGCCGCGUGUAUGAAGAAGGCCUUCGGGUUGUAAAGUACUUUCAGCGGGGAGGAAGGGAGUAAAGUUAAUACCUUUGCUCAUUGACGUUACCCGCAGAAGAAGCACCGGCUAACUCCGUG